rnacentral:rRNA from 1 species
UACGUAGGGUGCGAGCGUUAAUCGGAAUUACUGGGCGUAAAGCGCGUGCAGGCGGUCUGUUAAGACAGGUGUGAAAUCCCCGGGCUUAACCUGGGAAUUGCGCUUGUUACUGGCAGACUAGAGUGCGUCAGAGGGAGGUGGAAUUCCACGUGUAGCAGUGAAAUGCGUAGAGAUGUGGAGGAACACCGAUGGCGAAGGCAGCCUCCUGGGAUGACACUGACGCUCAUACACGAAAGCGUGGGGAGCAAACAGG